CGUAAAAACCCAGAAUGCGGACUAAAUGUUUAUAUCAGAUUAUUAUUCUUUUCGUUAUCAACUUGAUUAUUAAAUGAGUAAAGGUAUAGAUAUUAGAUUGUCGAUUUGAAUAUUAUAGCCUGCAGUACUUAUACGGUCAGUAUGCCUAUUACAUCGAUAUCGACAACUUCAAAAUGUAUGAUUUAGUGUUGUAAUUUAAAACCUCUUGUAUGAAAUAUGCAUCGAUCACUUCAGUGGAGGGCACAGCGUUGGGCUGAGAAGUAUGAGAUCAAGUGUUCUACAACUAUAAAUUUUAAUUUUACAAUAAUUAUGGGUGUGAUGUGUAAAACCGACAAUUAAAAUGUUGCCAGGUUAAAAUGCCGACUGAAAACGUACCACAGUAAACACUUAAAUCAUAUAAUAAGUACAUAGUACACAUAAGUAUGGAAUGUUUCCGGACAAAUUAAUAUGUUAAGAACGAAAAAUAAACAUAGACGCACAGAAUUUGGGAAUGUCUGGUUGGUGCUUCACAUGUUGCCAUUUUUUUGGCCUUUUCAAGAACUCCAAAAAGAACAACAAAAUACAAAAAAUUAAGAUAUUAUAAAGGUAUGCGUCUUGCAUAGUGAAAAGAUUUGGAAAGGAAAAAUGAUCGGUAUAACAAAAAUAUUACAAAGUCACAUUGUUUGAUUAAUAAAAUAUACUAUAAUAUUUUUCAAUCGGAAGCAAU